UGCAUCCUUUACUUCACGCUUCGCUUCUGAUGCGUAAAACCUUCCCCGCAUCGUCGCAGUCUCGCCAUUUUCACCUGCGGCUCACAUCAUCAUUUUGGUUGGAAGAAAUAGCAUAAAUCUAUUCAUAACAGAUCCAUCCAGAAGUCGGGCCGAUGAAGCCGAUUCUGAUUCUCCAGCAAUUGUUGCAGCUGAAUACAAAUCAUACAAGUAUGAACAUCGAGAGAAGGCUGACGGUGUUUUGCGCGAUGAUAGCGGCCUGUCACGCCGCCGUCGGUGACCAAUGGAAGGCCAGCGUCGCCGAGAACGUCGACGCCCUGGGCAACUGCAGCCUGGAGAUCACCCAAGUCAAAGACUACGACAACGGCCCGUUCUGUUUCCGCGUUGAAUUGGCUCGAACGGAAGACGACGCGUCCACCCCGGACAAAUUCUCCUUUGCUGAGGAUUGCGUGGCGUUGACCAUGCUACCUGUGCCUCUCAAGCCCGUGUUGGGACCUGCCAAAAUGGCGCACGAAGGGCGUCCCUACACCGCCAUCUGCAGGGUGACCCACACGUGCCCCACCCACGCGCCCGAGUUGACGUGGAGCAAGGGCAACCGAGACGACGUCACCAUCCUCAACAGAGAAAUUCAGGCCGGUCUUUGGGAGUUCCAGUCCGUCCUGACCUUCGUUCCCCAGGCAACAGAUGACCACUUGGACAUCACUUGCACGGCCACCUUUUACGGGAACAACUUGUCAUCCUCCAGCAAGUUCACCCUCGUAGUCAAACGCUCAGAAAAGUAUCACCACAUCAUCAUUCCGACUGUCGUCGGUGUUGGGAUCGCUGCACUCUUUGGAGGACUCUCCAUCGUCAUAGUGAAAAGAUACAAGAGUCGCAUCGCAGAACUUCAAAGUCGGUCCAGGACUCGACCGUAUCAUCCGGAACCGGUCCAGGCUAAUCAAAGGCAAGGCACACACGCACAAAUAUUAAUCUUUCACAAGCAGAAAUGCAGAAAGGAAGAGCAUCUUAUUUUAUUUAUUUUUUUCACAUGCAUCUAUUGAAGCAGUGUGCAUCAUUUGAAUAGUUUCUGUUCUCUAUUCCGAGCAGAUCUUCUUUGGGGCAGUUUUCUCAGGCCAUUUGUCAAGUCUUUGAAAUCACUUUGCAGCUGUUGGACUGGUUCAAGUCGGAUUUAUUUUGAUUCUGAACUUGAAAUAACCCCGACCAGUAAUCCGUCGUUAAGAAUCAUCUUUACUCCUCAAUCUGCGUUUUCCAAAGUCACACCCUAGUAGUGGUAAGAUACUUGUGUACACACUAUCUGACAGACGCGUGGCUGCCAUUCUGCGCCCGCGGCCACACCGAACAUCACCAAACAUUCGAUUUAAUGAAGACGAGAUCAAUUCCCACUUUCAGUCCACCACAAGAAAGAUUUAAACUUUGGGAUAAAUCUUCUGUAUCAACCCUUUUCAAACCAUUCGGCAAAUCUCCCACGCAGGCUGUCGGAGAUCUUCGGUAAAAUCAGGGACGCAUGUUCUCGUGUGGACUUUGCAUACUCUCCCUGAGCUUAUGAAAACGGAAAAUAUUUUUCUUCUAUGAGUUUCACUUUUUUAACGGCUAGUUUUGUCAUGGUCCAGCGGCGCGGGGGGGGGGGGGGGGAACCCAAAUGCAGGAGUUGCAGGCAACGACAUUCCAGUGGGACACGCCCGUAACACCUCACCGAGGAGGUGUCCGGGAAGCAUCCAAAUCAGAUGCCCCAGCCACCGCAUCUUGCUCCUCUCAACGCGGAGGAUCAGGAUCUCGAAACUGAGCCCCUCCCGGAUGCCUGAGGUGUUCCCAAGACAUCCAAGUGACGUAGUCUCUCCAGCGUGUCCUGGGUUGUCUCUGGGUCUCUUUCUGGUGGGGCAUGCCCGGAACACCUCGCCAGGGAGGCGUCCGGGAGGCAUCCAGAUCAGAUGCCCCAGCCACCUCAUCUGGCUCAGCUCAACGCGGAGGAUCAGGAUCUCGAAACUGAGCCCCUCCCGGAUGCCUGAGGUGUUCCCAAGACAUCCAAGUGACGUAGUCUCUCCAGCGUGUCCUGGGUUGUCUCUGGGUCUCUUUCUGGUGGGGCAUGCCCGGAACACCUCGCCAGGGAGGCGUCCGGGAGGCAUCCAGAUCAGAUGCCCCAGCCACCUCAUCUGGCUCAGCUCAAUGCGGAUCGACACUGAGCCCCUCCCGGAUGACCGAGCUUCUCACCCUGUCUCUAAGGGACAGCCCGGACACCCUGCAGAGGAAACUAAUUUCGGCCGCUUGUAUCCGGAGGUCGGACGUCAAUGACGCAAACUAAGAAACGUGCCAAGACGUGGUCAAACUAAAGGGCACAGAAUCGCUGUGACUAAGGAUUGCUCCAACCCACACACAGUAGAAGAGUGUCCCAGAAUGCAGUGCAGCAUGGGCAACGAACUGGCAAAUGCCAGUGACAAAUUCCAAGCCUAAACACCGGGUCUAAUUACCGUCAAAUGAACGACAGCUGUGUGAAAAGCUGUCAAAGGUGGUCUCGCCCAGAGCAGUGGCCUGGCCACGAACCCUCAUGGCAGAGCUGCCAGGCCAUGGCCGUGACAAUUUAUUGAGAUUGAGCAUCACGUUGCUGCACUAUCACGCUAUUAGCAAUCGCACCGUAGUCCGUUUUGUGCAUGACGUUAUCUCUGACAUGUUGAAGGUGGCCGAGAGAAAACACGGUGGAUCUGAAUCAUCUGCCAAGCACGUCGAGAGCCGCGAAGGGACGGAUGUUCUGGAAAGCUCCUAUACCGACUCCAAAAAGUUGCCGACCUGCGGAAGCGGUACCAGGGCCGCAUGGAAAAGAAAAAAUGAACCAGACCAAAGUCUGCAAUUACAAUCUGGACGUUUCCGACGCUGACGAUUACGAGAACACGGCAGACCUCAACCUGAACAGGCACCGCUGAGGAAAAGGACUUGAGUCAAAAUCCUAUUUGCACUGUAAACUUCGAGCAAUUGAAAUAUACGCAGUUUUAUUCCAUCUUUGUUCUGCUUUUAUCCCCUGGGGGAAACAUGGACUUCAGCUCAGAGUUGGUGAAAUGAAGUCGAAUCAAAUUUGCAAGUAAGGAAAUACAUACAUGAAAAUAACAGCCAGCUUUUCCCAAUUAACCGAAUAAUAAUAAUAAAAAAAAAAAGAGGAAGUAGAUCUGACGCGUUGUGGGUGUUUUUGAAUUUACUUUCGAUUUUACUGACUUUACUCCUCAUCCCAAACGCCCCCAAAGUCCAGUUGGUGGGCUGCAAAUAGAUUGAAAUACUGUGGUGAAAAUUAAUUUUCAAGCAGUACGUGUAUUAUGAACACGAGAAGUGAUGGAACAUCUGUCAGUUAUUUUCUCUGCUUUAUUGCAGCCGUGCCGUCAUUGCUGUUUUCUACUUUCAAAUACUUCAGAUGACAACUGAGUGGAGAAUGAAAUGAUAAAUAAAGGAAUUCAUCUUAUUUCCUCCCCCCCCCAACGUUCACGUUGGCAACAUUUUUGUGAGCGGCGGUCUAAAGAGGAAGUCGAACACCUGGGUUUGGCGUACACGCCAACACAAAAGGAAAUCGAACGUCAAAUGUUUUGGCCCCCUCGAAGCGAAACAUUCGACUCGCGUCGGUCUGGCAAAGGUUAUGCUCCCAAUCAAGGACUUGUAAAAAUGUGAACCAAAUAUCUGUAUAUUACCACUGGA